rnacentral:misc_RNA from 1 species
UGUGACAGACUCCUCCCCAGCCUCGUAAGGAUCCUAAACCAAGAUAAAAGCCAUAUUUUGUUAUGAUCUUCAACCACAUGUUGGGUUAAUUCUUCAACCAAGGACAUUCAAAAUCUAGGGUGCAACUUGACCUGGGUUAGUUCAAGUUGCCCUCAAACCAGAACCAAUUGAAGGUCAGUUUGCCUUUUGCUAGUUGACUGAAAGCAGACCCAUCAUUGGAACCAACCCAACCUAACCUGAGUAGAAUUUAGAUCAGGAUUGGGUCCAUCAAUUCUUUUAAGAUGCUAUAAAGGCUCUAACCGAUGGAGACUUCAUAAAAAAGGUUGGAUAUUUCUAUAGUUGGAAAGCCUCUUUUGAUCCUUGACCUUUAACUAAAAACCCACUUGGCACCCUCACCUUUAGUUGAAUCUCAUUUGACACCUGAAUUUUACAAAAGUGUAACUAUUUAAGCCAUGCAAUUGGUGAAUACGCAAACAUGAAUUGCAUAUACUUUGACUUUUCGUUACACUUUUAU